GCCUGCGCUUUCAUUAGCUACUUGGUGGGGUAACGGCCUACCAAGGCAACGAUGGGUAGCCGAUCUGAGAGGAUGAUCGGCCACACUGCAACUGAAACACGGUCCAGACUCCUACGGGAGGCAGCAGUGGGGAAUAUUGCGCAAUGGGCGAAAGCCUGACGCAGCGACGCCGCGUGAGGGAUGAAGGUCUUCGGAUCGUAAACCUCUGUCAGAAGGGAAGAAACUAGGGUGCUCUAAUCAUCAUCCUACUGACGGUACCUUCAAAGGAAGCACCGGCUAACUCCGUGCCAGCAGCCGCGGUAAUACGGAGGGUGCAAGCGUUAAUCGGAAUCACUGGGCGUAAAGCGCACGUAGGCUGUUAUGUAAGUCAGGGGUGAAAUCCCACGGCUCAACCGUGGAACUGCCCUUGAUACUGCACGACUUGAAUCCGGGAGAGGGUAGCGGAAUUCCAGGUGUAGGAGUGAAAUCCGUAGAUAUCUGGAGGAACAUCAGUGGCGAAGGCGGCCACCUGGACCGGUAUUGACGCUAAGGUGCGAAAGCGUGGCGAGCAAACAGGAUUAGAUACCCUGGUAGUCCACGCCGUAAACGAUGAACGCU
rnacentral:rRNA from 1 species